UACGUAGGGUCCAAGCGUUGUCCGGAAUUAUUGGGCGUAAAGAGCUCGUAGGCGGUUUGUCGCGUCUGCUGUGAAAACUCGGGGCUUAACCCCGGGCCUGCAGUGGGUACGGGCAGACUAGAGUGCGGUAGGGGAGACUGGAAUUCCUGGUGUAGCGGUGAAAUGCGCAGAUAUCAGGAGGAACACCGGUGGCGAAGGCGACUACCUGGCCUGUUUCUUGACGCUGAGGCGCGAAAGCUAGGGGAGCAAACGGG
rnacentral:rRNA from 1 species